AAUUAGAUUUUUCGGAUGUUUACGGCCAUAAAAUUGGAAAUCCGCGCGAGUCCCAAAAUGUCAUGUGCUAUAGCCCACGCCUUCUGCCGUGGCCACGAUCGACCGGACCCCAAUCGUCUAAUAUUUUUCUCGGACAUCCAAUGCGGCAAAAGGAACCAUACUCACCACCCUGCCAUGACCAAAUUACAUCUUUUGGAAGUUUACUUC
rnacentral:lncRNA from 1 species